CUGGGGCGCGGGCGGGGUCGGGGGGUGCGGGGGCCCGGCGGCCGGCGAGCAUGGAGGAGAAGUACCUGCCGGAGCUGAUGGCGGAGAAGGACUCCCUGGACCCCUCCUUCACGCACGCUCUGCGGCUGGUGAACCAAGAAAUAGAAAAGUUUCAAAAAGGAGAAGGCAAGGAUGAAGAAAAGUACAUCGAUGUGGUGAUUAAUAAGAACAUGAAGCUGGGACAGAAAGUGUUAAUCCCUGUAAAGCAGUUCCCUAAGUUCAACUUUGUGGGGAAACUUUUGGGUCCCCGUGGCAAUUCUCUGAAGCGUUUACAAGAAGAAACCUUGACAAAAAUGUCCAUCCUUGGGAAAGGUUCCAUGCGAGACAAAGCAAAGGAAGAAGAGUUGAGGAAAAGUGGAGAAGCAAAGUACUUCCACCUCAACGAUGACCUCCAUGUUCUCAUUGAAGUCUUCGCUCCGCCAGCAGAAGCAUAUGCCCGGAUGGGACAUGCACUGGAAGAAAUCAAAAAGUUCCUCAUUCCUGACUAUAAUGAUGAAAUCAGGCAAGCACAGCUCCAGGAAUUAACAUAUUUGAAUGGUGGUUCAGAAAAUGCUGAUGUACCAGUUGUUCGAGGGAAACCCACCUUGCGUACAAGAGGUGUACCAACCCCAGCAAUAACCAGGGGAAGGGGAGGAGUCACCACCCGGCCAGUUGGAGUUGGUGUACCACGAGGGACGCCAGCUUCCAGGGGAGUCCUUUCCACCCGAGGGCCAGUGAGUCGGGGAAGAGGACUUCUCACUCCCAGAGCAAGAGGAGUUCCCCCAACUGGGUACAGACCUCCACCACCACCCCCAACACAAGAGACCUAUGGAGAUUAUAAUGUCAGCCUCACGGGAAGAAGGAUGUGGUUUGGUUGUUCAGGACAAUAUCCCCAGUGCUUAGAGCAGUGCCUGGACUAUGAUGAUGGAUAUGGCACUGCUUAUGAUGAACAGAGUUAUGAUUCCUAUGAUAACAGCUAUAGCACCCCUGCCCAAAGUUAUCUCCAAUUUUUGCAGCGCCCAACAACACGGUGAGUUUCCCGCCCACAGAAGUUGAAGGAUUGCAAUGUAAAACAACACCUCACCCCUUUAUCCAGAUAGGCAGGGUGAUGAACGCAGCCAGAAGCUAUUCCAAGGAAAGCAAUGAGACACGAUUUAACCUUGCCAUAUGCCUGCCACCUCGCUGCUGUUGCUUCUGUUGGCAGCUUUAGGAUUGUAUGUCCUGCAAUGCCUUCUCAAGAGCCGACUGCAGAGGUUGGAAGAGGAUUUGGAAUUUCCAUUUUGGAAACGGUGACCUGUUGUUUAACUUAAGUUGUCACCGUUUAAACAUCAGUAAAACUGUUUUUCAGAAGACAUUUGCCAUGUGGUGUCAUUGUUGCCUGUCUUGGACUUUGAAAAUCAGUGAUGGUUUGGCAUGGAUUAAGAGAUUGUUAAUUCUGCCUCGUAAAAUUUCUGUCAAGUAUACUUUUACCUAGUCUGCUCCUCUGGGAUUUUGUCUGCUUGCUGCACAACCACUGAUGAUGCCUCUUAGCACCAACUGAGCCGUGUAAGCUGGCAACAAACAAACACAUCCAGCCUGUAUUGUGUAGACAUUGGUGAAAAGCAGAGAUACCAGCCCAAAUUAUACUGUAAACCCAUAGCUUCCGUAAUUCUCAGCCAAGGACUCUGAGGAGUGUCUUUCCAGGAGUCACACACCUACCACUGAUGUCUCACAGCAUGGUUUCAGAUGGCACACAGGCAGACCUUUUUUUUUUUUUUUACAGUUCUAAUGAUAGAUUUUAAAGUUACUAGGAAAAUAUACUUAGUGUGUCAAGCACAUGAUUUUUUUAUUUAUUGCUAUAAUUCAAUUAUGAUGCAUUGAAAUGGAAAUAAAGUCAAUACAGAGAGUAAUGUUAAGUCCUGGUAGGCUGAGUGGUGCAGAGGGGUGACAAGUGCUGCCAGCGGUCCAGGAGGGACUGCAGUGUGGCCAACGCUGCACUCUGCCUUUGUUGACUGGGUAACUGCCAGCCGUUAGUGUGCCACUGCCGAAAUGGGAAGGGUGGUCAGUGAAUCUGAGCCAUGAUCAGGCCUCCCUUGGAGUUCCUAAAUUUGAACCUUGACCGUACUGAAAGCAAGCCAAGAAGUUUUAUAGCUUCAGCAGAAAAUUCCUUAGAAUUAAAUUAAUAAAAAAUGAAGAAAGAAUUUCCAGAUUCAUUAAGUUAUUAGCACAGUUUGAAGAAAUCAAAUAUCAGUUGAGUACUUAGGAAGUGUUCACUACUGUAUCAGAUGUCCGUAUGCCUGCCGUUUUGUUUUAUCCCCCAGAACCUCUCAGAUGGUCAGGCCUUACUUUAACAAAUAAGGAAAGUGAGACUCAGAGAAUGUGAGCCUGUCCAAAGUCAAGCCUCAUACCCAGUCCUCUUAGAGCUCAAGCCCAUGCUCUUCUGCUCAACUUGGAGGCAACAAUUAAAAAAAAAAAAACCUGUCCCUAUAAAUGUGGAGAAUACCCACCUCU